GCUCCAAUAGCGUAUAUUAAUGUUGUUGCAGUUAAAAAGCUCGUAGUUGGAUUUCUGGUCGGGACAGCCGGUCCGCCUUUACGGGGUGUGUGCCGAUGCUGGCUCCGACCAUUCCUCGGGGGGAGGCCGUUUGGCAUUCAUUUGUUGGGCGGUCGAUUCUCGUCUUUUACUGUGAGCAAAACAGAGUGUUCAAAGCAGGC
rnacentral:rRNA from 1 species